GACGGGAGGUGCGGGCGUUAUUCGUUCUGAUUGGGUGUAAAGGGUACGUAGGCGGCGCAUUACAGCUUGAGACCAAAAUGGCGGAGCGUUCCUAUGCAUCGGUCCAUUCUAAUAAAGUGCGCUAGAGUUGCGAAGUGGUCGGGACAAUUUCCUGUGUAUGGGUCAAAUCUUACCAUACAGGAACGACUGUCAGCGGGCGAAGGCGCCCCUCUAUUCUCAACUGACGCUCAGGUACGGAAGCUUGGGGAUCAAACAGG
rnacentral:misc_RNA from 1 species